AAAUGCGAUAAGUAAUGUGAAUUGCAGAAUUCAGUGAAUCAUCGAAUCUUUGAACGCACCUUGCGCUCCUUGGUAUUCCUUGGAGCAUGCCUGUUUGAGUAUCAUGAAAUCUUCAAAGUAAAUCUUUUGUUAACUCAAUUGGUUUCUACUUUGGUAUUGGAGGUCUUUGCAGCUUCACACCUGCUCCUCUAUGUUCAUUAGCUGGAUCUCAGUGUUAUGCUUGGUUCCACUCGGCGUGAUAAGUUAUCUAUCGCUGAGGACACUGUAAAAGGUGGCCAAGGUAAAUGCAGAUGAACCGCUUCUAAUAGUCCAUUGACUUGGACAAUACUUUUAUGAUCUGAUCUCAAAUCAGGUAGGACUACCCGCUGAACUUAAGC
rnacentral:misc_RNA from 1 species